rnacentral:rRNA from 1 species
UACGUAGGGUGCGAGCGUUAAUCGGAAUUACUGGGCGUAAAGCGUGCGCAGGCGGUUCGCUAAGACCGAUGUGAAAUCCCCGGGCUUAACCUGGGAACUGCAUUGGUGACUGGCGGGCUAGAGUGUGGCAGAGGGGGGUAGAAUUCCACGUGUAGCAGUGAAAUGCGUAGAGAUGUGGAGGAACACCGAUGGCGAAGGCAGCCCCCUGGGUCAAGACUGACGCUCAUGCACGGAAGCGUGGGGAGCAAACAGG